UACGUAGGGGGCAAGCGUUGUCCGGAUUUAUUGGGCGUAAAGAGCGUGUAGGCGGCUUUGCAAGUCCGUUGUGAAAACUCGAGGCUCAACCUCGAGACGCCGGUGGAAACUGCAAAGCUAGAGUCCGGAAGAGGAGAGUGGAAUUCCUGGUGUAGCGGUGAAAUGCGCAGAUAUCAGGAAGAACACCUAUGGCGAAGGCAGCACUCUGGGACGGUACUGACGCUGAGACGCGAAAGCGUGGGGAGCGAACAGG
rnacentral:rRNA from 1 species